rnacentral:misc_RNA from 1 species
GACAGUGGAUCAAGUAGUAACAGUAAAUCUAUACAAGCAGAUCAGUUGGCGGGGCAAUGGUAUACAGCAUCUGCGGGCUUACCUCCACUUUUUGAUGAAGUCAAGAUUAGAAGUUCUCUUCAGAAAAUAUAUGAUUUCAAUGUAAUGAAAGUACGAGGAGGCAGGAUGGGGGCUGUAAAUGGAAUGCAUCCCAAUGGAAAGGUGGAUGAAACUUGUAUGCAGUCACGUGAAAUAUGGAC